UACGAAGGGGGCUAGCGUUGUUCGGAAUCACUGGGCGUAAAGCGCACGUAGGCGGAUCUUUAAGUCAGGGGUGAAAUCCCGAGGCUCAACCUCGGAACUGCCUUUGAUACUGGGGAUCUCGAGUCCGGGAGAGGUGAGUGGAACUGCGAGUGUAGAGGUGAAAUUCGUAGAUAUUCGCAAGAACACCAGUGGCGAAGGCGGCUACCUGGAUUGAUACUGACACUGAGGCGCGAGAGCGUGGGGAGCAAACAGG
rnacentral:rRNA from 1 species